rfam:Kyrpidia tusciae DSM 2912, complete genome.
AGAGAAAGUAGGAAAGGCGCACGGUGGAUGCCUGGGCGCUGGGAGCCGAAGAAGGACGGGGCGAACGCCGAAACGCCCCGGGGAGCCGUAAGCAGGCUGGGAUCCGGGGAUGUCCGAAUGGGGGAACCCGCCGUCUGGGAGAGGCGGCAUCGGCGGCUGAAUGCAUAGGUCGUCGAGGGCAGACCGGGGGAACUGAAACAUCUCAGUACCCCGAGGAGAAGAAAGCAACCGCGAUUCCCCAAGUAGCGGCGAGCGAACGGGGAGAAGCCUAAACCGGUCUUUUAGGGGGCCGGGGUCGAGGGGCGUCCCGUAGGGAGUGAGAAACCGGGUGGGUAGGAGAAGGGUCUGGGAAGGCCCGCCGGAGAGGGUGAGAGCCCCGUAUCCGAAACCGACCGGGCUCCGGGGCGGACCCCGAGUAGGGCGGGGCACGAGGAAUCCCGCUUGAAUCCGGGAGGACCACCUCCCAAGGCUAAAUACUCCCCAGCGACCGAUAGCGGAGAGUACCGUGAGGGAAAGGUGAAAAGCACCCCGGGAGGGGAGUGAAAGAGGACCUGAAACCGUGUGCCGACAAGCAGUCGGAGGGCGACGUUAAGCCUGACGGCGUGCCUUUUGUAGAAUGAACCGGCGAGCGGCCGUAUGAAGCGAGGUUAAGGCCUUCAGGGCCGGAGCCGAAGCGAAAGCGCGUCUGAAGAGGGCGAGAGUUUCAUGCGGCAGACCCGAAACCGGGUGAUCUACCCCUGACCAGGGUGAAGUGGCGGUGAAACGCCAUGGAGGCCCGAACCUGUUGGUGUUGAAAAACCAUAGGAUGAGUUGGGGGUAGGGGUGAAAUGCCAAUCGAACCCGGAGAUAGCUGGUUCUCCCCGAAAUCGCUUGAGGGCGAGCGUGCGGCGGUGAAGGCGGGGGCGGUAGAGCACCGAUUGGGGGAGGGGCCCGCGAGGGUUACCGAGCCGAGUCGAACUCCGAAUGCCGUCGUCGGAUGCCGUGCAGUGAGACUGCGAGUGAUAAGAUCCGCGGUCGAGAGGGAAACAGCCCAGACCGACGGCUAAGGUCCCCAAGGGCGGGUUAAGUGGGAAAGGAAGUGGCCGUGCGAAGACAACCAGGAUGUUGGCUUAGAAGCAGCCAUCAUUGAAAGAGUGCGUAAUAGCUCACUGGUCGAGUGCGGCUGCGCCGAAAAUGAAACGGGGCUCAAACCCGCGACCGAAGCCUCGGACAGGAGACUGUGGUAGGGGAGCGUUCCCGCGUGGGGGAAGCACGACCGGGAGGGCGUGUGGACGUGCGGGAAGUGAGAAUGCCGGUAUGAGUAACGAAAGACAGGUGAGAAUCCUGUCCGCCGAAAGCCGAAGGGUUCCUGGGGAAGGUUCGUCCGCCCAGGGUUAGUCGGGACCUAAGCCGAGGCCGAAAGGCGUAGGCGAAGGGCAACGGGUGGAGAAUCCCGUACCACCGAGGUCCGUUUGAGCGAAGGGGGGACACAGGAGGACAGGGGAGCGGCCGGCUGGAAGAGGCCGUCCAAGCGGCGAGGGGGUCACGCAGGGAAAUCCGCGUGGCGGGAAGCCUGAGCCGUGAUGGGGAGGGAAGGUUGAGUACCGAAGUCCCUGGGUUCACACUGGCGAGAAAAGCCUCUAGCGAGGACCUGGGUGCCCGUACCGGAAACCGACACAGGUUGGCACGGAGAGGAUCCGAAGGCGACCGGGAGAACUCUCGUUAAGGAACUCGGCAAAAUGGCCCCGUAACUUCGGGAGAAGGGGCGCUCCGGUAGGGUGAGGGUCCCCGCGGGCAGAAGCUUUCGCUUUUGCCGGUGGGGGGGAAGCCCGAGGGAGCCGCAGAGGAGAGGCCCAAGCGACUGUUUAGCAAAAACACAGGUCUCUGCGAAGCCGGAAGGCGAAGUAUAGGGGCUGACGCCUGCCCGGUGCUGGAAGGUUAAGGGGAAGGGUGAGAGCCCUGAACCGAAGCCCCAGUAAACGGCGGCCGUAACUAUAACGGUCCUAAGGUAGCGAAAUUCCUUGUCGGGUAAGUUCCGACCCGCACGAAAGGCGUAACGACUUGGGCGCUGUCUCAACGAGAGACCCGGUGAAAUUGUAGUCCCUGUGAAGAUGCAGGGUACCCGCGGCUAGACGGAAAGACCCCGUGGAGCUUGACUGUAGCCUGAUAUGGGAGAUGGGUCGGUCAUGUACAGGAUAGGUGGGAGGCAGGGAACUCCGGGCGCCAGCCCGGGGGGAGCCGACGUUGGGAUACCACCCUUGGCGGAUUGAUCUUCUAACCUGCGGCCGUGAACCGGUCGGGGGACAGUGUCAGGUGGGCAGUUUGACUGGGGCGGUCGCCUCCCAAAAGGUAACGGAGGCGCCCAAAGGUUCCCUCAGCGCGGAUGGACAUCGCGCGGCGAGUGCAAAGGCACAAGGGAGCUUGACUGCGAGAGGGACGUCUCGAGCAGGGACGAAAGUCGGGCUUAGUGAUCCGGCGGCACUGAGUGGAAGGGCCGUCGCUCAACGGAUAAAAGCUACCCCGGGGAUAACAGGCUGAUCUCCCCCAAGAGUCCACAUCGACGGGGAGGUUUGGCACCUCGAUGUCGGCUCAUCGCAUCCUGGGGCUGAAGUCGGUCCCAAGGGUUGGGCUGUUCGCCCAUGAAAGCGGUACGCGAGCUGGGUUCAGAACGUCGUGAGACAGUUCGGUCCCUAUCUGCCGCGGGCGGAGGAAACUUGAGAGGGGCUGUCCUUAGUACGAGAGGACCGGGAUGGACCGACCGCUGGUGUCCCAGUUGUGCCGCCAGGCGCAUCGCUGGGUAGCCAAGUCGGGGAGGGAGAAGCGCUGAAUGCAUCUAAGCGCGAAGCCCGCCUCAAGAUGAGGUUUCCCACACCGUCAAGGUGGUAAGACCCCUUGGAGAAGACGAGGUAGAUCGGUCCGGCGUGGAAGCGCCGCGAGGCGUGAAGCGGACGGAUACGAAUCGGUCGAGGCUUUCUUGAG